rnacentral:rRNA from 1 species
CAGGACGAACGCUGGCGGCGUGCCUAACACAUGCAAGUCGAACGGAGCUAGAAAGCUUGCUUUUAGCUUAGUGGCGGACGGGUGAGUAAUGCGUGAGCAACCUGCCUGUCAGUGGGGGAUAACUUCCGGAAACGGACGCUAAUACCGCAUACAGUACAUAAUCCGCAUGGAUAAGUGUAUGAAAAGGAGCAAUCCGCUGAUAGAUGGGCUCACGUCCGAUUAGUUUGUUGGUGGGGUAAUGGCCUACCAAGACUACGAUCGGUAGCCGGGCUGAGAGGCUGAACGGCCACAUUGGGACUGAGACACGGCCCAGACUCCUACGGGAGGCAGCAGGUGGGGGAUAUUGCACAAGUCGGGGGAAACCCUGAAUGCAGCAACGCCGCGUGGAGGGAUGUAAGGUUUUCGGAUUGUAAACCUCUGUCCUUAGUGAAGAAAAAAUGACGGUAACUAAGGAGGAAGCUCCGGCUAACUACGUGCCAGCAGCAGC